GUGGGGAAUCUUAGACAAUGGGGGCAACCCUGAUCUAGCCAUGCCGCGUGAGUGAUGAAGGCCUUAGGGUUGUAAAGCUCUUUCAGUGGGGAAGAUAAUGACGGUACCCACAGAAGAAGCCCCGGCUAACUCCGUGCCAGCAGCCGCGGUAAUACGGAGGGGGCUAGCGUUGUUCGGAAUUACUGGGCGUAAAGCGCACGUAGGCGGAUUGGAAAGUUGGGGGUGAAAUCCCGGGGCUCAACCCCGGAACUGCCUUCAAAACUCCCAGGAUUGAGGUCGAGAGAGGUGAGUGGAAUUCCGAGUGUAGAGGUGAAAUUCGUAGAUAUUCGGAGGAACACCAGUGGCGAAGGCGGCUCACUGGCUCGAUACUGACGCUGAGGUGCGAAAGCGUGGGGAGCAAACAGGAUUAGAUACCCGUGUAGUCC
rnacentral:rRNA from 1 species